UCCCUUAUGGUCCAGUGGUUAAGAUUCAGGCUUUCACUGCCUUGUUCCCAGAUUCGAUCCCUGGUCGGGGAA
rnacentral:tRNA from 1 species